AUGAAUGAGAGAGAUUAUGAGAUUGAGAGAGGAAGAGAUGCAGACCGAGCUCGAGAGAGAAUGAGACUGAACGAGAGAGAGAGCUGCUGUCCGAAGAAGAAGAAAGAGGAAGAAAGAAGAAGAAGAAGAAGAAGAAGAAGAAAGUGAGGAACGAAAAUGGAAUUUUCGGCCAUAGAUUGUUGUUGGGUACUCACAAGUGGGUCAAGGUCGCUAAGAGAACCCAAGCGGAUCAAGGUACAGAGAUGGUAGAUGAGGAUCCUGUUGCCAUGUAUUUGGGCCACGAUGUUUGAGGCCUUGAUGCGUCGGGGGUUGAUUUUGUUGGACUAGUUAUUAGUCCUCUUUGUUAGAGCAUUUAUGUAUAUGCUUAGAUGUUGGUAUUUUGUAUAUGGCUCAUGUCACAUGUGAUACUUUGUUUAGCCAUUCUUCUGUAUGUAAAACAUUAUUCAUAUAGGUGUA